GUACCAGGUCAGCCAGCCGCCCGGGAUAUGAAAAGUGUGCAUCGGGCAGAUUUUUUACGGGGGAAAAUUUGUAUUGGUACUCUACAACUGAUAGUAAAUACAAUCUCAAUCCGGACAUGGCAUUAGAGUCUUGGUUUAGCGAGCAUAUUAACUUUACCCAUGGUCCACUUCGGAAAAGUCACUUCGAUAAGUCGAAAAGUCAUAAGAUUGGCCAUUACACUCAGAUGGCAUGGUCUAACAGCGUCUACAUCGGCUGCGCGAUAUUGCAAACAAAGAAAGGCGAAUGGAACAACUUUUAUGUAGUCUGCAACUAUGGACCAAAAUAUGUUUCUAUUAUCAUCAUUGGCCUAGCCUUUUCCCAACUAUGUUGGGGUCGGCUACCAG